CUACACAUGCAGUCGACGCAUGAAGCUGGGUGCUUGCACCUGGUGUAUGAGUGGCGAACGGGUGAGUAAUACGUGAGUGACCUUCCUUGCACUCUGGUAUAAGCUCGGGAAACUGUCUCUAAUACCGGAUACGACCAGUCCUCGCGUGCGGUGCUGGUGGAAAGGGUUUGUACUGGUUCUUGAUGGGCUCACAUCCUAUCAUCUUGUUGGUGAGGUAACUUMCCGCCCUUACGACGGCUACCCGGCCYGAUGACCGUCGGAAUUGGAACYCCGGCCCCAAUCUCCUACGGGACGCAGCAGUGGGGGAAUAUUGCCCAAUGGGGGCGMAACCUUGAUGCAAMGAGACCCCCYUAGGGGGAUGACUGCCUUUCGGGUUGUAAACCUCUUUCAGCAGGGAAAGAAAGCUAAAGUGACGGUACCUGCAAAAAGAAGCCCCGGGCUAAAUUACGUGCCCCCAGCCGCUGUUAAUACGUAGGGGCCCAAGCGUUGUCCGGAAUUUAUUGGGCGUAAAGAGCUCCUAGGCGGUUUUGUCGCGUCUGCUGUGAAAGCCCGGGGGCUCAACCCCKGGCUGUGCAGUGGGUACGGGCCAGACUGMAGUGCAGUAGGGGAGACUGGAAUUCCUGGUGUAGCGGUGAAAUGCGCAGAUAUCAGGAGGAACACCGAUGGCGAAGGCAGGUCUCUGGGCUGUUACUGACGCUGAGGAGCGAAAGCAUGGGGAGCGAACAGGAUUAGAUACCCUGGUAGUCCAUGCCGUAAACGUUGGGCACUAGGUGUGGGGGACAUUCCACGUUUUCCGCGCCGUAGCUAACGCAUUAAGUGCCCCGCCUGGGGAGUACGGCCGCAAGGCUAAAACUCAAAGGAAUUGACGGGGGCCCGCACAAGCGGCGGAGCAUGCGGAUUAAUUCGAUGCAACGCGAAGAACCUUACCAAGGCUUGACAUACACCGGAUCGCAGCAGAGAUGUUGUUUCCCUUCGGGGCUGGUGUACAGGUGGUGCAUGGUUGUCGUCAGCUCGUGUCGUGAGAUGUUGGGUUAAGUCCCGCAACGAGCGCAACCCUCGUUCUAUGUUGCCAGCACGUUGUGGUGGGGACUCAUAGGAAACUGCCGGGGUCAACUCGGAGGAAGGUGGGGAUGACGUCAAAUCAUCAUGCCCCUUAUGUCUUGGGCUUCACGCAUGCUACAAUGGCCGGUACAAUGGGUUGCGAUACCGUGAGGUGGAGCGAAUCCCAAAAAGCCGGUCCCAGUUCGGAUUGGGGUCUGCAACUCGACCCCAUGAAGUCGGAGUCGCUAGUAAUCGCAGAUCAGCAACGCUGCGGUGAAUACGUUCCCGGGCCUUGUACACACCGCCCGUCAAGUCACGAAAGUCUGGUAACACCCUGAAGCCGGUGGCCCAACCCUUGUGGAGGGAGUCGUCGAA
rnacentral:rRNA from 1 species